GCCGACCCAAACAAAUACAUUAUCCCUGAAAAAUAAUUAAAUGAUUCUUUUUUUAUGAAAUGAAAUGCAUGAAUCACUAACAAAAUUGAUAACACUCUGUUGUGAAAAAAUAAAACUUCCAGUUUACGUUUCUGAAAAUAGACAAAUCAAUUAUAACUGACCUUGAAAUGUCGUUUACGCAAAUAAUUUUGCGGAACGAAAUCUGUGUUUAAAACCCAUUACACAAUAAGUUCGUUUCCCUUAUUUGUCAUCAGUAUGUAAGAUGCAUAAUCUCAUAGAAAUAGACUUGUCCAAAUGUGGACAGGUGGAAAGCACCUUGGAAGUAAAAUUCUGAAUAUCAACAAGUCAUUUAGAAUUUUCUUGUUUCAUGGAUAAUAAAAAAAAAUAUCGUCCAUUUGGAUAAAAAACGGGAAUGCAUGACACUAGUUUAUAACCCGAUAUUCUCGUUUUUUCCGUGGACGAGUCUAUUACGUUUUUGACACGUGUGUUGAAACUUAUUUUCGUACGACGUUUUUUACAUUUUUUUCUUUAUCAGUUUUCGUUUUUGAAGAUCAUUACUCACCAAGUUUUCUGGAAUUGAUUAAGAGCUACGCGAAUUUGUUUUUCUUGUUUGUGAAAAGACGAUUUAAUUUCGUCUUUGUCUGUGAACACCCCCUUUUUUACGGCAAAUCAUUAGACAAUGUCAUGCGAAAUUUAUGACAGCUGAGCAAGAAUAUUUCAUCGAACUAAAAUUUGAAAUGACGACAAAAUAGCAUAAAAAACAUUUUGUUAGAAUGGUGAAAUGUAUAUUUAUUUUGCAUUUUUUUUUCUGUCUUGAAAGAUAUUUUUUUUCUUUUUUUUCCCGACCGACCGACCCGACUUUUUCAUGGGGAAAAUCCGUAAACCAACAAAUUAAAAAACCGUGGCCUUACUUUGUUUUCGGUUUUUAUUUUAUAAGAUUUAAAGAUGUUUUUCUUGAGUACUAGUACCUUGUAGGUAUGAACUGUGUUGUUUCUUACUUGAUAUGUGUAGUAUUAAUCUUUUCCCCCCAAUUGCAUUUAACUUUGAAAAAACAUAAUUUUAUCAUUUAUACCAUAACAAUAUAAAUGCCUAUCUAAAUAAAACUUAGAGAACCUUGGCAUAAAUAAAAACAAAUUUCUAAAAGACAUUAGAUUAUGAAGAAUUAAGAUGACAUCAUACAUACGAAGAAACUUUGGAAAGUGUCACACCAGUGAUUCUUUUUGUAUAACUCUGGUAUUCAAAUACUUAAAAUUUCAUUUUUUAUUGGGGAUUUUCUUCAUUGUAUAGAGAGUGCAUUCAUCAUUAGAUUAAUAUUCCCCACAAUGUGAUUUGUAUAUGUAUUUGUUGUAAAUACAGAAAAACAUACAUAAUGAUUAUGAUAUGCUAAUACUUCAUUAUAACAAAUAAUUUUACUUUUAAUUAUGAUGAAUAUUUAAACUGAAUUGACAAUUUAUAUGUCAUGCCCCUUGAUUGUUGCCUUUUGUGUUGAAAAACAAAAAGUAUUCAAAGGACCUUGAGUAACCAGACAGAAAGUCAAAGAGUCACAAAUAAUUCAUUUACAAUUAUUUAAAUGUAUAAAUUAUUGUCUUUUUCUAAGAUAUAUUGCUUAUGCAUUAUUAAUUUUCGAAAAUGGUAAAUUGGUUAAUAAAUUUGUUUGGUUUAUAAUAGAUUAGAAUACAUUAAAAAAAUGUCUGUAUUAGUCUUCCUAUUCAAAAAGAAUUCUCUCAAAAAUACAUUGUGACCUCUUACUCUUUUUAAUUAGUAACUUUUUUGUCUACUUCUUUUAUACCAUAAUAUUAUGCAUGAUAAGUAUGAAUUUUACAUGACGCAUGUCACAUAUGUAUGGAUAAUUAGUCCCCUACUGAUGAAGUCGAAGUAUACUUUAGGUUUGAUCUGUCAGUCCUGCAAAUCAGUUUAAUUUCCGCACUAUUUUUCUUCAUGCUUGAAGAUAUUGAUUUGAUAUUUGGUAGAUUGUCUUAUCAUGACAUGCUACAGAUCACAAUCAUAUUUUGUUCUGAGGCUGCUUUUUUUUUUAGAGUUAUCCUUCGAUUUAGACUUUUUAAAUAAUCAAUUUUCCACACUUCUUUUUUUGUCAUUUUUAAAGAUAUUGAUUUGAUGAUUAGUAUAUAGUUUUAUCAUGACAAGUUACAGUUCAAGUUUGAAUUUUGUUUUGAUUUGUGCAGAGUUAUGGCUCUUGAACUUAGAAAUAUCAAUAAAAUAAUUAGUUUUCGGCACUCUUUUGUCGUGCUAGAAGAUAUUGAUAUGAUAAUUGGUUUAUAUUUUUAUCAUCACAAGUUACAGAUCAAGAUUGAAUUUUGUUUUGGUCUGAUGAUUUUCUGCAGAGUUAUAUUCUUUGAACUUAGAAAAUUCACAUAGAUAAUCAGUUAUCAAAACUUUUUUCAUCAUGUUUGAAGAUAUUGACUUGAUAUUUGUUUACACCAUGACAUGUUAUAGAUCAAGUUAGAAUUUUGUUCCAAUACAGUGAAUUCUUAACACUAGGUGACUAUGUAGGGACUAUUGCCAUGCAAUACUCACAGAAUGCUUGUUUUCUUUAAUAUUUUAUAAACUUUAUUUAGGUAUUACUGAUAAUUUAUUCAAUUACCUAUAUGCAAAUUUAGAAAAUUAGAAGAUUUAUAAUAAAAGAACAAAAUUGA
rnacentral:lncRNA from 1 species